UACGGGGGGGGCAAGCGUUGUUCGGAAUUACUGGGCGUAAAGGGUGCGUAGGCGGCUUUUUAAGUUUGGUGUGAAAUCUCCCGCUCAACUGGGAGGGUGCGCCGAAUACUGAGAAGCUAGAGUGUGGGAGAGGAAAGUGGAAUUCCUGGUGUAGCGGUGAAAUGCGUAGAUAUCAGGAGGAACACCGGUGGCGAAGGCGCUCAUCUGGCCCAAUACUGACGCUGAGGCGCGAAAGCUAGGGGAGCAAACGGG
rnacentral:rRNA from 1 species